rnacentral:miRNA from 1 species
AAGGGGGGGGGGGGAAAGA